CCCAGAGCCUCCCUGAGCAACCUGGGUAAGAGCUGAAGGCCUUAUCUACGUCUGCUCUGGUGCGAGUCCUCGAAUAGUGUGUGAUGGAGACACCUACUGGCUGCUCUGAGCACAGGCCCCUGGAAACCCAGGAACGUGGCUCAGGGCCCCCAUUCCACCGAGAGCCUGAUAAAAUAUAACACUUCAAAGAAUUUUCAGACAUCCUCCCUCGCCUCCGCUGUUAAGGACACACAGGUGGACGUUGCUGGGAAGCACUGCAAAUAUGGCACUAAGUGGUGGCCUUUCCAGGUGCUUGGAGGAUGUCACUCAAUUGCAUUCCUCUCUGGUACAGGCCUGCUGGAGUGCUGAAUGAAGCCAUCAUGAGGAAUCCCACUGUUCCACCGACUUCUAAGUAAAACGGAGCUGGGUGGCACAGCCUGAGGCGUCAUUGAUUAUUGUGACAAGCAGAUCUGCAGGCUGAGUCGUGGAGCCAAUUCCACACAUUCAUCAGGACAGAGCCUUCCGUGCUAGGGGGACCGCGGCCCAUAACAGGACUUCUGAAGGACAAGACACCCUCCUCCUGGCCUCUCAAGGGACUGCACCCAUCACAACUGGGCUCCCUGCCUGCGGGAUGACCUGAGACUCCAAGGGGGCCUUUGGAAGCCACUAUUCACCAUUGCUUGGGGGCAAAGAACAGAGUCCCCGGAAGUCUUGUAGCAUUUAUGGGGUAUUGCCCUCUGACAAAAUCUACACCUGGGAGAUUUGGCUGUGAUUAGAUCCCCUUCCUGUUGGAGCUAGGAUGGGGAAGGUAGGGAGGCUGGGUUGGAUGCAAGACAUGGAGACAGACAGGGAAAACCACUUGGCUUAAUGCUUUUGCAUCAGGAAAUGCAGAUUCCCUGGUCUUCUUAGGAAGCCUCAUGUUGACCCUCGUAACCAAAACAGAAGUUAAGACCUAGAAAUGAAAAUGAUUGUGUUUCUGUGGAGAUUUUAAAAAAUUAAAUAACGGGUGAAAGCAAAAGAUAAAAUAAAGUCGAUGGCUCUGGGCUAAGUCUUCUCAUCUGACUCUCAAUCCAGUCGGCACGUGUAUGAGAGGACAUUCACUUUUCUCUUCUUUCUAAAUGUGGUUGAAUUGUCAAAUGACACUUUGUUGAAAAUAUUAAAACCUAGAGGUCAUGCCAAACCCAGCUUGAAAGCGAACAGACAUUCUUUCGUCUUAGCACGAGUGCAUAUUUGGAAUUGUAAAUGCAAAUUCUUUGGAGACAGACUCGCCUUCCUGGCCGGCGAGUACAGACAGAACAUUUGAAAGCAGGUCUCGCUUUAAUUUUUGACAAGUGUUAGGAAGAGAUACUCUUCGCAGCUUGAGAGAGAGGGGAAAUGAAAGCCAGCUUGUGGGUUAGAGGAGGUUGGGGGGAGGGC
rnacentral:lncRNA from 1 species